rnacentral:rRNA from 1 species
CAUGAAGCUGGAAUCGCUAGUAAUCGCGAAUCAGCAUGUCGCGGUGAAUACGUUCCCGGGUCUUGUACACACCGCCCGUCACACCAUGGGAGUUGGUAACGCCCGAAGUCAGUGACCUAACCGCAAGGGAGGAGCUGCCGAAGGUGGGGCCAGUAACUGGGGUGAAGUCGUAACAAGGUACC